ACCCUCUCUCAAUCACUCAAACUCUAAUUUCCUAUUCUAAUUUGUUUCUCUAUUUCUUCCUCUCCUUCUAAAGAACACCUCUCGUCCGCAUAUACCGCCGCUGUAAUAUUUUUGCUGAGAGAAAAAAAAAAGAGAUCGAGAUAGAAAACAAGAGAUCGAGGGAGAAAAAGAUAGAAAGAGUUUGAUUUAAAUCUGGAUCUAUGUUGAAACCAAGAAAAAAAGGAGAUUUUGUUGUUUUAGAUGGCAGAAUACAACUGAAUCGAAGAUAGGGUGUUUACGAAUUGGAAGAAUAAGCAAUUAUGGGUUCGAUUUGUGGAAUUUGUGUUGCUGCUGCUAGAAAUCAAGUUUGGGUUGGAGGAGAAUAAAUUAGGUUUUUGAUGAAAUUGAGUUCACAGAGAGGAGUUGAUGGUUCGAUAUGUGAUGGGUUUUGUUGAAUUGUUGAAGAUGAACUCGAGAAUGAAUUUGUGAUGGGAAAUAGGAAUUAGGGUUCUGAACUGAGUUGAUGUUGGAGCUGGUGGAGAAGGAAAUUGGUAUUGUCUGUUCUCGAGCAGAUAUUAAGAAAAAACUGGUGCUUCUGUUGAAUUGAAAUGGUGGAUUAUUGUAGGUGAUAUGAAUGAUUAAGGAUAUGAAGUGCUGGUGGUGAUUGAAGCAACCUCGUGGUAGUGGUUUUAUUGAGAUGGAGGAAAUUGAGACAAGUCUCGAGUUCUGGUGGCGAGGUUAUUGCAGUGGUGCUGCUACUGGUGAUGUUGGUGGUUUAUCAUUAGUCCGAAAGAUGCUUUUAAUCGUUACCGCCUUAUAUGAAUGAUGAUGCGAUAUAUAUACCACCAACAACGGCACCAGCACCAGGAGAACUUGCUCCACAAACUCCUCCUUUUGUGGCGCCUUCACCUCCUCAUGCUGAACCUCCGCCGCCUCCACAACCUACCCCAGUCUUUAAAUUUAAUCAAGAUCCGGCCGUUUGUUGCGACAAGGGAUACACAGUUACUACCUCUGUUGGUGACUGCUCUGAAUGUAACGAAAAAUGUAAAUCAGGUUCAUUCAAAGUUGACCUUGAAGGAGUCUUUUGUUACGACACUAAUGAGGACAACCUUUCUGCAAUUGCUGCGUUCUUUAUGUGGAAGGUGAUGAAUGGACCCAUCUGGUGGUCAGCAAAGCCAGGAUUUUCAAGGAUGUGGAUUUAGGAGAUGGUCGAAUUGGGCACUGCAACUAGGGAAACAACAUGUACCUAUUUCCAGGACAAGAAGAUUAGAAUUUCAAAGUAUAGGAUUAACUGGAUCCUUCCAAAAGAUUGUAAAUACUGAGGGUAUAUCGGGUUUCUACAGGGGAAAAGGAGCUAGUGUUGCUCGAAUUGUUCCUCAUGCAGCUCUGCAUUAUAUGGCAUACGAGCAGUAUCGUGGAUGAAUUACACAAGGCUUUCUGGCAGGUUCAUUUGCUGGUGGAACCGCAGUUCUUUUCACUUGCCCACUUGAUUUAGUACGAACAAAAUUAGCGUAUCAGGAACGUGUAAGGAAGGCAGUCGCAGCAAAGAAAGCCUACACCUGCAUCCAAAAAGAAAGAAGAAGUGAUGAUAGCUCUGAUGAGAGUGAUUCCAAGGAUCUUAAUGUUUUAAUGUAAAAAUCUGAUUAGGUAUUUUUGUUCAAUUAAACAUGAAGUGAGAGGGAUAGUAUUGAAACUUCUGUUGGACAUGUAUUUGAAGAGAGGUUUCUGAGGUUAAAACCCAACUUCGUUUUGGAGUGUGUUCAGGAAACUUAACUUUUGGUAACAAACAUCAAUAUCACUGCCAUUUUUUGUAUGUGUGUGUUUAACACUGGCAGGUAAACUUGAGUGAAUGUAAAUGUGUUACACUGGCUGGUUAAUGUGAAAGUG